rnacentral:rRNA from 1 species
AUUGAACGCUGGCGGCAGGCCUAACACAUGCAAGUCGAGCGCGCGGCGGACGGGUGAAUAAUGUAUGGAGAUCUGCCUAAUAGCGGGGGAUAACUCCUAGAACCUGUCUAUUAUACCGCAUACCCUCAGAUGCACCCAUAUGGGAUUAGCUUGUAGGUGGGGUAAUGGCUCACCUAGGCGACGAUCCCUAGCUGGUCUGAGAGGAUGAUCAGCCACACUGGAACUGAGACACGGUCCAGACUCCUACGGGAGGCAGAAGUGGGGAAUAUUGCACAAUGGGCGCAAGCCGGAUGCAGCCAUGCCGCGUGUAUGAAGAAGGCCUUAGGGUUGUAAAGUACUUUCAGCGAGGAGGCGUUACCCGCAGAAGAAGCACCGGCUAACUCCGUGCCAGCAGCCGCGGUAAUUC